rnacentral:tRNA from 1 species
GUAGUUCAGUUGGUAGAAUGCGCGGCUGGGGGCCGUGUGGUCGCUGGUUCGAGUCCAGUC